rnacentral:rRNA from 1 species
AACUCUCAACAAAGGAUAUCUUGGCUCCCGUAACGAUGAAGAACGCAGCGAAGUGAGAUACGUAGUGUGAAUUGCAGAAUUCAGUGAACCAUAGAAUCUUUUAAUGCAAAUUGCGCUCGAGGCGUGGGCCAAGAGCAGAUCAGCUUUAGCUUA